ACGACUUCUACGAUUAGUACAUAAGCUAUAACACACAAGUCGUUAUUUUUCGAAUGUUGUAAAUUUCAAAUAAGCUGUCAGAACUCGGUUUCUUUUUUCUUUAAUUUGUAAUUUAUACGUUUUUAACUUGAAUCAGACGUCUGAACGGAGUCGAAAACGUUUGUUUUAAUUAAAAUAUUGCUGGAAAGGUAUAUAAGGUGUAGAGUUAUUGAUGAUUACCAGUUUCUGAUUCUUGGUUUUAACACCGAAAAAGUUAAAAAAGAAAAUCAAUUCGAAGAAAUCUCGAAGCCUAACGAAUAGUCGAAAACGCAUUACAAGUGCCGCAGAAGUAAGCUUAGAUCAACAUUGGUUACAGUUAGUGAAUCGGGAGAAUAGGAAAAUAAUGAAGCUGAAGACACAGAGAACGAGAAUAAUAUGGAGAUAUUAAAGUGCGACAAUGAAGAAACUGGUAUAUAGCCCGUACUGUACAAUUACUAACUUUCCAAUUACUGCAUUUCGAACGUAUAAUGCAUGGCCGUUCGAACUACAAUGAAAUCAACCAGAAUAAUUGCGAAACGAAGAACAAUAUGCCAUCCUAUAGUAUCUAUGAUAAAUCAUGGAAAUGUAGCUAGGAUUCAAACCCGGAUCCAUGAUGGUAGGCAUUCUGGCUAUGUAGUAAGUUACCAUCUCUCCACCUGUGCAUGAUG